UUCAUUUGCAGUUGCUUUGAGCAAACCUCUUCUCUGAAACUUUAUAGCAUUUUCUGACUGCACUGCAUUGUGGGAGGAGGAAGAGGGGAAGGAAAGGACAUGAGAGCAUCUCAUAAAAUUCCCGAAAGAGAAACAGAAGGUUUACUUAUUGCCAUCAGGAUUGUGAAUACAAACCUACCCAAUGGCAAGCAGGCCGAGGCUGCUGAUUCAUCUUUCUGCUAUCUCAUGGUCCCUGCCUUUAAGCCGGAUCAACCUUGCUAACAUUGAGGCUGAAUAAGGCACAGUCAUUAUCAUCUUGUGACAUGGUGGAGAGCUCUAUCAGUCUGCUGACAAAAGGAUUUUAAGGGAGACAGGAAGCAUGGUGGACCCAUGAUGCACAAUCUACUGGAAAGAAUGUAUGAAGACAAUGAGAAUUAGAGAAAGAAAAAGACCUGAGAAAUUCCAGGAAAUGUUUCGAAGAUAGUAUAUCAUUGUUACCAGGAGGAAAUGCCAUGGGUAAUGUCAAAGUCACUGUUUAUA